GGGGGAUCGCUCGGCUCAGGCGCCGACGAAGGUCGUGCCAAGCUGCGAUAUUGCCCCGGGUAGACGCAAGGAGUCUAUGAUCCGGGGAUGACCGAAUGGGACAUCCUGACCGCAAGGUCAUUCGCUUUAUGCGAAAGGGAACCUGCCGGAUUGAAGCAUCUUAGUAGGCAGAGGAAAAGAAAUCAAUCGAGAUUCCCUCAGUAAAGGCGAUCGAAGAGGGAACAGGGCAAUCCGAAUCCGUGCGGGAAACCGCAUGGAGAUGUGGGGCCCGGGUCCACCCGACCGUCCAGACAUGAAGUCCGUUGGAACACGGCGCCGCAGAGGGUGAUAGCCCCGUAGUGGCAUGGACGAGGGUGAUGCCGGAGCAAAGAGUAGGGCGGGUUGGAAAUCCCGUCCGAAGACCGGGGGCAUGAACCCCGAACCCUAAACACUCCCAGAAACCGAUAGCACAGUAGUAGCGUGAGUGAAAGCUGAAAAGCACCCCUGACGGGAGGUGAAAAGACGUGAAACCAUCUGGUGACAGACUGUACGAGGGGGAAAGC
rnacentral:rRNA from 1 species